AACGAACGCUGGCGGCAUGCCUAACACAUGCAAGUCGAACGAGACCUUCGGGUCUAGUGGCGCACGGGUGCGUAACGCGUGGGAACCUGCCCUUAGGUUCGGAAUAACUCCCCGAAAGGGGUGCUAAUACCGGAUAAUGUCUUCGGACCAAAGAUUUAUCGCCUUUGGAUGGGCCCGCGUUGGAUUAGCUAGUUGGUAGGGUAAAAGCCUACCAAGGCGACGAUCCAUAGCUGGUCUGAGAGGAUGAUCAGCCACACUGGGACUGAGACACGGCCCAGACUCCUACGGGAGGCAGGAGUGGGGAAUAUUGGACAAUGGGCGAAAGCCUGAUCCAGCAAUGCCGCGUGAGUGAUGAAGGCCUUAGGGUUGUAAAGCUCUUUUACCCGGGAUGAUAAUGACAGUACCGGGAGAAUAAGCGCCGGCUAACUCCGUG
rnacentral:rRNA from 1 species